rnacentral:rRNA from 1 species
CAGCAGCCGCGGUAAUACGUAGGGUGCGAGCGUUAAUCGGAAUUACUGGGCGUAAAGCAUGCGCAGGCGGUUAUAUAAGACAGAUGUGAAAUCCCCGGGCUCAACCUGGGACCUGCAUUUGUGACUGUAUAGCUAGAGUACGGUAGAGGGGGAUGGAACUCCGCGCGUAGCAGUGAAAUGCGUAGAUAUGCGGAGGAACACCGAUGGCGAAGGCAAUCCCCUGGACCUGUACUGACGCUCAUGCAUGAAAGCGUGGGGAGCAAACAGGAUUAGAUACCCGUGUAGUCCCUGUCUCUUAUAC